GGAAGUGCGUUCGUCCCGGUGGGCGGCCCGGUCUUCAAAACCGGUGGAAGGCUGACGAGGUCUUCGGUAGGUUCGACUCCUAUGCACUUCCGCCA
rnacentral:tRNA from 1 species